CAUAGUUUAAGCACUUAUGAAAAUAUUUACAUAAAAUUCUUAUAAAUGUUUUUUGAGAUUCUUUAAUUAUGUGUGAUGAUUCUGCUAAUAUUUGUUGAGAUAAUUGAGGUAGAUUACCGGUAUUUUACCAUUGGUUUUGUAUUUUGUAUUACGUUAGCUACUUUUAAAAUACUUUUAAGUCAUUUGGAUGGUUGGUUAAGUUUUGUUAGCUUAAUUUAAAACAUUGUUUAAUCGUGUGAAUGGCUGGAGGGAUAAGGUAAUUUAAUUUCGAACACUGUUCAAUUAUUUGAAUGAUUGGUUGUAUACAAUAUUCAUUUAAAAUACUGUAUAUUGGUGUAAAUGUUUGGGUAAGUUACGUUAGCCACAUUAAAAAUACUUAACGGCGUUCUUCGGGAUAGGUGUUAUUCAAAAAACCAUUAAAUGUUCUUAAUGGAGAACCUUCUCUAGAAAAUUAGCAUUACUUGAAAUAGGGAUAACAAUCUGCAGGUAGAGAAGUAAAGAUUGUGUUAGGUAAGUUCCGGGAAGAGGAGUGGCAGAUUUAGCAUUUAAAACUGCAGAAUAAAAAGUACGAAUUUUUGAAAAAUUUAAAUAUUUAAGCUUUGUGAAACGAUUAAUAACCAUGCAACAUUUUUAAAUAAUCAAUAUUAAUAUUACAAGAGUGACAUAUUUUUAAUUAUAUAAUCUUGAUUUUUGAAAUAAAUGCUUUUUUUUUCGGAUGAGGUUGUACUAACCAGCGAAAUGAUUUUUUUUCCGUAUCUAAACUACCGCGUUAUUAUUUUCCUGCCUAGUAUUUUGUUAGUACAAUAUAUAGUACACAAUAUAUAGUGCACAAAAUAAUUUAUUACGGUUGUGGCAAACAACAGUUAACUGGUGUCACUGCUACAAAAGUUUAACAUUAUUUAGCCAAACUUGUGUUGUGAAUGUAUUACACUGAAAUAAAUAAUAAAAUCACUUCAGGCUAUAUAAAAAAAAAGAUUGUCAAAAUUAAAUGAUAUCGUAGCUUUCGUCCAUUCGAAACCUAAAUUGGGCGGAGACAAAACAAAAUACAGAAAAAAACUUAUUUUGUAAUAAAUGAGGCAAUAAAAUUAGUUAUAGGUAUCUAAUUUCUUAAUUUAUUUACUUGAAUGAAAAUAAAUUUGCCAUUAGAAUCAUCAUUUGUUGAUAACCGCCGUUCUAACAAAAUGUAAAACUCAGAUUAACGUAUAUUUCCGUAUACAUAGCCUACUUUAGCAAAAUAUCUCCAGAGUGACGUCACAAAUUGCUAGCCAGUGAAAGAGAAAGGUGCGCAAAAGGAUACAUAUAUAACUUCACGAUGAUUCACCCGUUAUGUUCACAGUUGACAGAACAGAAGAACGAAUGAAUAUCAAGCAAUGAUUUGUGUAACAUUUUCUUAAGUGUUAUGAGUACGUAAUAAAUAUUCUCGCAGAAACUGUAUGGUGUUAUGUAGGCUGAAGUAUCUAUUUAUUCGAUUUUUUAUUUAUUAGAAAACAAUUUGAUCCGAUUUCCGCAUAGUAGACGCAGCGUCGCACUGCGUGGCUGCGACUGGUUGAUAAUCGCUGGCUCCUCUGUGACAUUGUGGGCAUUGGUGAAUCAAGCUUGUCGUGAAUGUCAGUGCGCUUGCAAACUGACUCCCCUGCUGCAGCUCAUACACCGGUCGUCACUGGAUUCUGAUGUACUUUGUAAUAAUUAAGAUAGUUUCUGAACCAGAACAGUUGAUAAGCUACGGUCCUGAAUCAAAAAAGGUAAAUUUAAAAUGUGUCGUAACUUUAUCUUUGAGCCUCAUUUAGAAAAUGUUAACAUACUCACCUUUCAUUGUUAGGUACAUAUUUUUUUACACAAUCCCGCAUAACCCUGCAAGUUAUAAAAAUUCUUCCAAUGUAUGAAUUUCCCAAUUACAUACAUAUUGAUAAUGCCGAAUGUGGACUUUAUAUAUAUAUACACAUGCAUACUUACACAUAUAUGUAUAAUAAUUGAAAGAAAAUGUUUGCUUCAAUGUCUCCCCUAUAAAUAAUAAAUGAAUUACCUAUAUGAUUAAAUAUCCGUGUUCUUAGUGGAUAUAACUAGGAAAAUCUGCAUAAUUUGUAUGUAUUUUGGUAGUUAUUAAAAAAGUACAAUUAAACUUACAAUAUUAUGAAUUGUCAUACCUCUAAUGUUAAAUUUUACUCUUGUACCGAUAGCACACUGUAUCUAAGUAACAUAAUUAAGAUGUCACAGAUAUAAUAUUUAAUACUUACUAAUUUUAUUCGACAAUGUGUUUCCGAUUCAUUUGACUUCUUGCAAAUGGGUUAUAAAUUAAGUAUAACUCCAGAGACGUACCAAAUUAGGUUACCUUGAGAAACUCAUGACGUCAGCGUGUAUGGUUUAUGUGUUAGGGAAAAUUUAUUCAAAUACUGUGUAUUAAAAAAGUGCAUGACAUGGUA